UACGUAGGCAGCGAGCGUUGUUCGGAAUUACUGGGCGUAAAGGGCUCGUAGGCGGCCAACUAAGUCAGACGUGAAAUCCCUCGGCUUAACCGGGGAACUGCGUCUGAUACUGGAUGGCUUGAGUUUGGGAGAGGGAUGCGGAAUUCCAGGUGUAGCGGUGAAAUGCGUAGAUAUCUGGAGGAACACCGGUGGCGAAGGCGGCAUCCUGGACCAACACUGACGCUGAGGUGCGAAAGCGUGGGGAGCAAACAGG
rnacentral:rRNA from 1 species